CAAAAUGGAUCUCUGGCUUUGGGAGCUGCCACUACAGCUCUUUCAGCUUCAGAGUUCUCAGAAGCACGGACUGUGCCUCAGCCAUGGAUAGGACUCCUUAGAACAUCCUCAGGAAUCCCUGCCUCUCUCAUUUUAAGGUGAUAGCCAAUGACUUUGCUACCUCCGUCACUGACUGGCUCGUUCCAUUGUACUUCCAUGCUGUCCUUGGAGGAGAGCGUUACAAACGGUGUGCCAGGAGGACCAGGAACUUUGAAUGGAUACUGGGCUACAAUAGGCUCUGAAUUGAGGUUCGGACUGUACAGGUUCUCCUUUGCCAUACUGGUUUACAGCUGAGACCCGGAAGAGGUACUCAUUUCCUUGGAUAAGUUUGGUUGCCACAUGCCUGCAAGACUGAAUAUCUUCAGCAACCAGUGUCCACAAAAGUCGGCUGGUUUCUCUCUUCUCAAGAACAUAGGACUUAAUUGGAUGUAGUUGGUGAUCUCAGAACCUCCAUCGUCCUUCGGAGGACCCCACUUUAAGGUCACGGCUUCUGCUGUGACUUCGUCAAAUUUGAUCGGUCCAGUGGGGAUGCCAGGCUUGCCGACAACUCUUAUGGAGAGAGUUCCUUCCUUGGUGCCGGCAACAUUCUUCAGUGUGAUUGUGUAUUUUCCAGCAUCGGAUUUUCGGCAGUCGUAUACUACAAGAGUUGUGUUAACUGCAGAUGACUCGACACUGACUCUUGUGUCUGUUGCUAGAGGAUCUUCCCCUUUCUUCCAGGACACAGAUGGAACUGGCUUGCCUUUUAUGGGGAUCUUAAGACGGAAGUUGCUGUUUUCUUUAGCCAAGUAACACAAAUCAGUCAGGAAAUCAACUACGUAUCCAAUAAUUCGACUUCCACCAUCGCUGCGAGGCUUUUUCCAGCUUAUGCUACAAGACGACUUGGUUACAGAUGUCACUUUAAGGUCCACGACUGGUCCAGGGGUUUCUAAAGCAAAGGAGAAAUGAUAAGUCUAGGCCCCGGAUAACCAAGAAACAUACCAAAUGGGAACUUAGCCAGCAUCUUUGGAGAUGUGAGAGGCUCUGAAAUGCCAAAUCGGUUCUCCGCACGGACCCGGAAGAUAUACUCUUGGCCUGGGAUCAGUUUUCCAACCCUGCAGGAAGUUUUUGUCACUGAAGCCAGCGCUGUCACCCAGUCACCUCGGCUUACGUCACACUUCUCCACUAUGUAAUUGGUGAUGCUACUGCCUCCAUCCUCCAGAGGGAUGUGCCAGGACAGGGAGCAAGCAUCGGCGUCUAUGUCGGAAAUGUCGAACGGAGGCUGAGGCGGUCCAGGAGCAUCUGUGUGAACCGAGAGGAAAGAAAUUAACUUCUAGUUUCCUGGGAGGAUCGGGCUCACCUAGAAGAGAGGUCGUGAUUAAGAAAAAACUGUCCAGGUGGCUGCCACGAGAUAGUCAUAUGUUCGGGGGUGACUUCCAGAAUAUUAAUAGGGCCUGUUGGUGGACCAGGAACAUCAAGAACCGUAAGAUGUACAGCUACUGUUUUGGUGCCAGCUGCAUUGGAAACUGUGAUCUGAUAUUCCCCAGUGUCUCUCCUUAAGCAGUUCUUAAUGGUAACGGUUGGAGGAGGCUUUCCAGACACAUAGGCGAUGAUCCGAAUCACCCCUCCAGCAUGGACCACAAUUCUGUCUCUGACGCUGGCAUCUAGCUGAAGUGGUCCUCUGAAUGGUUUCCGCGGGAGCACCAAUACCAAAACGGUUUUCUGCCCGCACGCGGAAGAAGUAUUCCUGUUCGGAGAUGAGGUCAGGAACUACAAAUGAGGUGCUUCCACAGUUUGGAUUGACUUUAGUCCAAGCUUUUCCAUCAAUAGUCCUCUUCUCGAUAACAUAGCCUUUGAUCCUGUCUCCUCCAUCAUCGUCUGGCAUCUUCCAUGUAAGUCUGCAACUGCCCCUGGUGAUGUCACUGACUUUCAGAUCUUUGGGUGGCCCUGGUACAUCUGUUGGAUGCAAAUCACAAUAUAAACAAUGGUAUCUUGUUUAAAAUAAUUUGUUCUUAUUCCAUAAUAACUUAAAGUUUUUCUUACCCAUGACUUUAACUCUGCAAUUUGCAGUCUUUUGUCCAGCUUUAUUCUUGGCUGUGAUGCUGUAUUUGCCUGAAUGAGAUCGUUUACAUUCCGGAAUAAUAAUUACGGAUGAGUUUUCAGCAGUCUCCAGCUGUACAAAGAAAAUAGUAGUCAUACAUUGAAUGAAAUAAUAGCAGUAUUGAAAUCAAUCAGAUUCUGAAUCAUUUCAGUUUUGUUUUUUUUUACCUGUGCAUCUUCAGGUAUAUCAUGAACCCCAUCCUAUUAGGAAAGAAGAUAGUCAGUUACAGUGUAAAUAUUUCUUAGAGUGAUUCAGUGGGAGAUGCAGAGAAUUAUAAUUUUCAUACCUUCAUUGCCUUCUUUGCCUUUCCAUCAAACUCCCAAGAUGAUUUUGGUGUUGGGCGUCCCUUGAUCACAGCAGGAAUCCUAAUCUGUGUGCCAGCUUGACAAAUCAGACAGUCUUGUGCUCCAAUGUCAAUGAAAACUUCUGGUACCUCUGUAAUACCAUGGAUAAUAUAACAGGAUUUAGCUUACCUUUUUCAAAAAAGUAAUUAGCAUCUUCAGUAAAUGAAUCAAUUUCAUAAUAAGGUCAGAAGAUGAAUACAUAUGGAUUCAUGGAUUAAGGACUAGUACCUUGAAUAUCAGUGGCAGGGAUCUCUCCAGUUGUAUCACUUGGUUCAGAUUCACCAGCUUCAUUGACGGCUUUCACUCUGAAUCUGUACUUCCUGAGCUCUUUCAAAUUCGGCACCACACAUUCACAGGCAGUUAUAAGUUUGUCUGGUUCGUUUACACUUUUCCAGUCGGUAGUACCUUCUUCUUGCAUUUCUACAAUGUAUCCUUUGAUUGGACUGCCACCAUCUUUGGCUGGAGGUUUCCAUGCUAGUGAGAUGCUUGACUUUGUUUUAUC